AACGAACGCUGGCGGCAGGCCUAACACAUGCAAGUCGAACGCCGUAGCAAUACGGAGUGGCAGACGGGUGAGUAACACGUGGGAACAUACCCUUCGGUUCGGGAUAACUCAGGGAAACUUGAGCUAAUACCGGAUACGUCCGAGAGGAGAAAGAUUUAUCGCCGAGGGAUCGGCCCGCGUCUGAUUAGCUCGUUGGUGAGGUAACGGCUCACCAAGGCGACGAUCAGUAGCNGGUCUGAGAGGAUGAUCAGCCACAUUGGGACUGAGACACGGCCCAAACUCCUACGGGAGGCAGCAGUGGGGAAUAUUGGACAAUGGGCGCAAGCCUGAUCCAGCCAUGCCGCGUGAGUGAUGAAGGCCCUAGGGUUGUAAAGCUCUUUUACCCGGGAAGAUAAUGACUGUACCGGGAGAAUAAGCCCCGGCUAACUUCGUGCCAGCCGCCGCCGUAAG
rnacentral:rRNA from 1 species